UCAGAUCAACAGUGAAAUGUCUAUGUGUUUUGCUCCCUGUGAUGGGUGUUACAUGGGUUCUUGGCCUGUUUUACAUAAAUGACGACACGAGCUGGAUUCAGUAUUUGUUUGCGGUAUGCAACAGUUUGCAGGGCCUGGUGAUAUUCGUCUUCCAUUGUGCACUCAAUAAGCAGAUCCACAAAGCGUUUUUGUUGACUAAGAGGAAGUAUUCAGUGGAGACAUCUGAAUCGAGGCUCGCAAAUCAAAUGAAAUAGAUCAAGAUGAAAGAUACAUUGUGAACAGCUCCUUACGACACAGAGAAAAAAAUAAUAAUAAACUAAUUAUACCUUGUCACAUUAAAAGCAGUAAAACUUUAUACCGGGAAAACACAGCCAUAUUAACCCUUAGCCUGCUGGCGGCAAGUGAUUCUGCCUUUGCGACCAGUGCAGACCAAGAUUAGCCUGCACAUCCGUGCAGUCUGAUCAUGGUCUGCACUGUUCGCUAUUCAGUCAGUAAAUUUUUAGUAAACACCCCUUCAAAUGAUAAAUGGUACUGCCCAAAUUGGAAGAUGGACCAGUCCAUAAUAGAAAUUUAGCAUGGUAAGGGUUAAGUAUCGUGCGGAACUGAAUGUUCGGCGAAGGAUACUACACUAUUCAGUCAGACGACCCAAUGAGUUUUAACAACUUAUCUGAAACUACAGCCACACAUUCAAAAGUAGUCACUGUUGAAGAGAUCUCAUGAAUAUUCCAUUGAAAUUAAAUUCCAUUCAAAAUUUCUUACACAAAUAAAAGCGUGUUUCAGAAUGAGA